rnacentral:rRNA from 1 species
UUGCGCCUACGGGAGGCAGCAGUGAGGAAUAUUGGUCAAUGGGCGGGAGCCUGAACCAGCCAGGUCGCGUGAGGGAAGACGGUCCUAUGGAUUGUAAACCCCUUUAGGCGGGGAGCAAUGCCGGGCACGCGUGCCCGGAGGGAGAGUACCCGCAGAAUAAGCAUCGGCUAACUCCGUGCCAGCAGCCGCGGUAAUAAGGAGGAUGCGAGCGUUAUCCGGAUUUAUUGGGUUUAAAGGGUGCGUAGGCGGAUUUUUAAGUCAGCGGUAAAAUGUCGGGG